GUGAAUCAUCGAAUUUUUGAACGCAUAUUGCACUCUCUGGUAUUCCGGAGAGUAUGCCUAUUUGAGGGUCAUUUGAAAUAAUAUAAAUUCCAAGAUUUCUCGGAAUUUAAAAUGGGUUGUCCAUUUUUGUGGUCGCCUUAAAUUCAAGACAAGCCCAUUUUCUUGGGUUGCGUGAUACUUUCAAGUAACGCGUUACCUAACCAGGAAUCAAUGGGCGGGCUAU
rnacentral:misc_RNA from 1 species